rnacentral:tRNA from 1 species
GGCUGGCUGGCUCAAUUGGUGGAGCACGCAACUCUUGAUUUCGGGUUUGUGGGUUCAAGUCCCACGCUGGGUG